UGGGGAAUAUUGGACAAUGGGCGAAAGCCUGAUCCAGCCAUGCCGCGUGUGUGAAGAAGGUCUUCGGAUUGUAAAGCACUUUAAGUUGGGAGGAAGGGCAUUAACCUAAUACGUUAGUGUUUUGACGUUACCGACAGAAUAAGCACCGGCUAACUCUGUGCCAGCAGCCGCAGUAAUACAGAGGGUGCAAGCGUUAAUCGGAAUUACUGGGCGUAAAGCGCGCGUAGGUGGUUUGUUAAGUUGGAUGUGAAAUCCCCGGGCUCAACCUGGGAACUGCAUUCAAAACUGACUGACUAGAGUAUGGUAGAGGGUGGUGGAAUUUCCUGUGUAGCGGUGAAAUGCGUAGAUAUAGGAAGGAACACCAGUGGCGAAGGCGACCACCUGGACUAAUACUGACACUGAGGUGCGAAAGCGUGGGGAGCAAACA
rnacentral:rRNA from 1 species